rnacentral:lncRNA from 1 species
CGGCGGGUGGCGGCGCCGCAGCGAGGCGGCCAUUUUGUGGCGCUGCGCGGUCGGUGGCGCUGGGCUCGGCGCGGAGCGGGGCCCGGGGGCGGUGUAGCGCCGUUCUUAACCCUUUUUCCCGUACAGAUUCCUCGCGUUAUCUCAACUUUUGGAGCCUCCUGUAGGAAAACACUCCUUUCAGUUGUACAGCAGCACUUGGAAUGCUCGUGACCAUAUAAGCAGCGAGUUUCUUCUUGGUGUGUGGUUUCAGCACAGCGUGGCUGUGGUCAUCCACUUGCAAG